AUUAUGACAUGACCUGAUUUAAUAGUGUGCAUUUCUCUUUAAAGCUUCCUCUUCUAACAGAAUAUUCUGGCCCGUCCAUCCCCAGAGCACCAACCAGGACCCCCAACAGGACCAAGGAUCUACCCAGGUUCAGUGUCUUGAUGCUGGGUAUACAGGUGAUGGGGUGUAUGCCCAAAUUGAACUCAAGACGUUGGACAAGAAAAAGAAAGAAUUAACACCCCCACCAAAGUCAGAAUCAGCCUAUUCUCUACUAAAACCCUUCAAAGACUACAGUACUUGAGGGGAACAUGGAUGUGAUAUUUUCAUCCAUGCAGUCCUACACAGAAGUGUGAGCAAACUCUGCAUGAACACAGACACACACACACACACACACAGACACACACACAAACCUUAGAUGAAAGAUUUUAAUAAUACAUUAUUUACUAACUGAAAGUACAUAUUUAAUAUGUUGCCUGUUAAGUCACAUGAUUUAACCAUUUGUGAUUGACAUUCCAACUAUUUUUUGAUGAGCUGGCUUAUUUAGCUCCUAAUAGGCUUUUGGUUCAAAAGGCAUAAACUCCUGUCCUGUCAUGUAUUAGGUCACUUGAGAAAUAUGACACAAAUAUUAACGGUUUUUACUUAUAUCAUGAUUGACAUUAUCCACCGCUAAAGUGACUCUUUGUUUUGUACUGUGGUUAUAAAUAUCUUUGACUCAUUUAUAAGCUCUGUUAAGGUGAUUGAAUAAAAUAUUUGUAUAUGAGUUGAAUGUUUUCUUACAGUAAACAGAUGUGCAUCAUCAUCAUCAACUUACACUCACCCUCCUAUUGGUCAGC